CCUACGGGUGGCAGCAGUGGGGGAUAUUGCACAAUGGGGGAAACCCUGAUGCAGCGACGCCGCGUGGGUGAAGAAGUACUUCGUUAUGUAAAGCUCUAUCAGCAGGGAAGAAAAUGACGGUACCUGAGGAAGAAGCCCCGGCUAACUACGUGCCAGCAGCCGCGGUAAUACGUAGGGGGCAAGCGUUAUCCGGAUUUACUGGGUGUAAAGGGAGCGUAGACGGCAGUGCAAGUCUGGAGUGAAAGGCGGGGGCCCAACCCCCGGACUGCUCUGGAAACUGCACGGCUGGAGUGCAGGAGAGGUAAGUGGAAUUCCUGGUGUAGCGGUGAAAUGCGUAGAUAUCAGGAGGAACACCAGUGGCGAAGGCGGCUUGCUGGACUGUAACUGACGUUGAGGCCCGAAAGCGUGGGGAGCAAACAGGAUUAGAUACCCGAGUAGUC
rnacentral:rRNA from 1 species